CCCCUUGUAGCUCAGUGGUUAGAGCACCAGUGCCGCCCUUCUAUGCGGGAUGCGGUCCGGCACUGCUGAAGACCCCGGUUCGACUCCGGGCAAGGGGA
rnacentral:tRNA from 3 species